UAUAAAAGCGAUCCCAGUUCGGACUGCAGGCUGCAACUCGCCUGCACGAAGUUGGAAUUGCUAGUAAUCGUGGAUCAGCAUGCCACGGUGAAUACGUUCCCGGGUCUUGUACACACCGCCCGUCACACCAUGGGAGCCGGUAAUACCCGAAGUCAGUAGUCUAACCGCAAGGAGGACGCUGCCGAAGGUAGGAUUGGCGACUGGGGUGAAGUCGUAACAAGGUACC
rnacentral:rRNA from 1 species